rnacentral:rRNA from 1 species
AACGAACGCUGGCGGCAUGCCUAACACAUGCAAGUCGAACGAACCCUUCGGGGUUAGUGGCGCACGGGUGCGUAACGCGUGGGAAUCCGCCCUUUGCUUCGGAAUAACAGUUAGAAAUGACUGCUAAUACCGGAUGAUGUCUUCGGACCAAAGAUUUAUCGGCAAGGGAUGAGCCCGCGUAGGAUUAGGUAGUUGGUGGGGUAAAGGCCUACCAAGCCGACGAUCCUUAGCUGGUCUGAGAGGAUGAUCAGCCACACUGGGACUGAGACACGGCCCAGACUCCUACGGGAGGCAGCAGUGGGGAAUAUUGGACAAUGGGCGCAAGCCUGAUCCAGCAAUGCCGCGUGCGUGAUGAAGGCCUUCGGGUCGUAAAGCUCUUUUACCAGGGAUGAUAAUGACAGUACCUGGAGAAUAAGCUCCGGCUAACUCCGUGCCAGCCGCCGCGGUAAUAC